GAAUGCCACAAAAUGCCCAGCUAGUAAUUUUCCCAGAGGUAAUGAAAUACAAAAGAAUAAAGUUGGAGCUAAAGUCUUCUUGAAGAUUCCCUACAAGGAAGAAUUGCCAGACUCCAAGGAUUUUCGCUUACUCGAAGAAAGUCAUAAAUGACUAGCCUGGCCAGCAAACACACAGAGACCCUGCUCCCCACUCCCAAAGGUGGA
rnacentral:lncRNA from 1 species